ensembl:snoRNA small nucleolar RNA, C/D box 88B
UGUCCCCUGCAAUGUCCAGCACUGGGCUCUCACCGCCUGUGAGGACAUGGUGCCCUCCGGGCCCUUUGAUACCCCGGAGGGCUCUGAGGGGCUG